rnacentral:rRNA from 1 species
AUACGGGGGGUGCAAGCGUUAAUCGGAAUUACUGGGCGUAAAGCGCGCGUAGGCGGUUUGCUCAGUCGGAUGUGAAAGCCCAGGGCUCAACCUUGGAACUGCAUACGAUACUGGCAAACUAGAGUGUGAGAGAGGAUAGUGGAAUUUCCGGUGUAGCGGUGAAAUGCGUAGAUAUCCGAAGGAACAUCAGUGGCGAAGGCGACUGUCUGGCUCAACACUGACGCUGAGGUGCGAAAGCGUGGGUAGCAAACAGGAUUAGAUACCCUAGUAGUCC